UAAUGUAGCCUACAAUAGGAAGGACUAGGCUACUUUUAGAUUUACACUUUAUCCCUCCAUAGUAUUUCCUCCAUAGUAUUUGCUUUACAUGCGUGGUUUAAUAGUUUAAAAUAUUUUCCUUUUCAAUCAUGAACAUAAUUAUAAAGACAUCGUAUGUAAGCAUCCAUGCGUAAAGAUCAACCCGUACAGACUUGUUUGAAUUAAUGUGUUGCGCCAUUCGGAGAUGUGCUUAGCCUACUCUGUAAUUUAACCAGUUUCUGUUUCUACUGUGUGCAUAAGGGCCCAAAGUGGCAUUUGUAUUUAUACCGUGCAUCAAUUAUAUUUUGUGCACACAUCCAGAUACUCAGCUCGUUUGUGUGAUUACUUUUUUUAGGGACGGGAGAGAUUCUCUGAUUAUUUAUUUGAAUGGUGGUGGACAGGUCGCGGUUAUCCGGACAGGAGCCUAUUACGCCCUGUCUUAAAUCGCUGGAUAACAAAGUUGUCCUUCCUCUGUGUGACUGUGAGUGAGUUGGCUCAGCCCCUCCCUCAGCCCUUCCUCACACAUCUUUGGUUGAUACUGCGUGUCUGAUUGACAGGAACAACCAGAUUCGGCUCUUCUGAUAUGCGAACAAGCUCCCAACGUUCACCUACAAGAGCCGGCUCUUAGAGCCAACUCGUUCGCGAACGACCCAUCACUACUGAGGAAAGAAAGAAAGAAAGGGAGAGAGAUGCUUUUGUGAAGCGGGAAAACAUUUUAUGUACUAAAAAUCGUUUUUCCCCGAAUUGGGUUGAACUGCACUGUUGUUCUGCCCCUGAACAAGGCACUGUUCUUAGGCCGUCAUUGUAAAUAAGAAUUUGUUCUUAACUGACUUGCCUAGUUAAAUAAAG